UACGGGGGGGGUAAGCGUUGUUCGGAAUUACUGGGCGUAAAGGGCUCGUAGGUGGCCAACUAAGUCGGACGUGAAAUCCCUCGGCUUAACCGGGGAACUGCAUCCGAUACUGGAUGGCUUGAGUUCGGGAGAGGGAUGCGGAAUUCCAGGUGUAGCGGUGAAAUGCGUAGAUAUCUGGAGGAACACCGGUGGCGAAGGCGGCGAACUGGUCGAAUAUUGACACUCAUACACGAAAGCGUGGGGAUCAAACAGG
rnacentral:rRNA from 1 species